AUUUGUGUUUCAGGUGUAGAGAGGAGAGAGAGUGAACAGGGAGCGGGGCUUUUGUCUGUUGGUCUCCCUGGACUGAAGAGAGGGAGAGUAGACGCCCAAGACUAAGAUUCUCAAAAUGGUUUAUUACCCAGGAGUCUGUGUCUGGGUCGGUCAAGAACCAUUUCCAAACAAGGAAAUGGAGGGAAGGCUUCCUCAGGGAAGACUUCCAGUCCCAAAGGAAGUGAACCGCAAGAAGAAGGAUGUGACGGCUGCUGCCUCCCUGACCCCACCGGGUGGCAAUGAACUCCGCUCCGCGAGCAUCAGUUACCUCCACUUUUUUUAAUUGUAACACCUCCAUUUGUAUUACAUAUGGUGUAUGGGUAUUGAUGAGGUCAUGGUAUCAUAUAUGGGAUUUUUUUCUGUGUAAAUCAUCAAGUAUAAGAAGAAACUAUGGGACUCUGAGCCUUGCUUUAGAGAAUUUACAGUGGACAAAUAGCUAUCAUCAAACCAGUUUUUAAUCAUUCUGACUCAAGUGAAAACGCUCAGAAUUUCACACUGUGAAUCCACGUUUACAACCCUUACAGGUGGGCCUUCAGGCCUGGUUCGCUACGACAAG